rnacentral:rRNA from 1 species
GCAAGCACUGAGCGCGUGGACGCGGUAAGACGUAGGAGGCGAGGUGUGUACGGAUGGAGUGUAGGUAAAGAGCACGCAGGCGUGUUUGCAAGACGGAUGUGGAAACCCGAAGCUCAACUUCGGGCCUGUGUCCUAAACUGCCCGACUAGAGGUAGGUAGUGGAGAUCGGAAGUCCUGGUGUAGCGGUGAAAUGCGCAGAUAUCAGGAGGAACUCCGGUGGCGAAUGCGGAUCUCUGGGCCUUACCUGACGCUCAGGUGCGAAAGCUAGGGGAGCGAACAGGAUUAGAUACCCGGGUAGUC